AUACGUAGGUGACAAGCGUUAUCCGGAUUUACUGGGCGUAAAGGGCGUGUAGGCGGUCUUGCAAGUCAGAAGUGAAAUUCCUGAGCUCAACUCGGGCGCUGCUUCUGAAACUGCAGGACUUGAGUGCUGGAGGGGAUAGCGGAAUUCCUAGUGGAGCGGUAAAAUGCGCAGAUAUUAGGAAGAACACCGGUGGCGAAGGCGGCUAUCUGGACAGUAACGGACGCUGAGGCGCGAAAGCGUGGGGAGCAAACAGGAUUAGAUAACCUGGUAGUCCACGCUGUAAACGAUGAAUACUAGGUGUAGGGGGUAUCGACUCCCUCUGUGCCGCAGUUAACACAAUAAGUAUUCCGCCUGGGGAGUACGGCCGCAAGGUUGAAACUCAAAGGAAUUGACGGGG
rnacentral:rRNA from 1 species